UAUCUCACCAUAGUUCCUUUUUGCUUUUAUAGAUCAAUGUACUGUUACCCGGACAUACCUAUUUCUUCACAAGUUCUGGUUCUUUAGUGCUGCUUACUAUUUUGGUAACUGGGCCUUUCUGGGGGUAUUCUUGAUUGGACUAAUUGUAUCCUGUUGUAAAGGGAAAAAAUCAGUCAUGGAAGGAGUAGAUGAAGAUUCAGACAUAAGUGAUGAUGAGCCCUCUGUCUAUUCCGUUUGACAGCCUUCUGUCUUAAAGGUUUUAUAAAGCUGACUGAAUAUCUGUUAUGCAUUUUUAAAGUGUUAAACAUUAGGUUGAACUAACUAGCUUUCAUCAAAAUGGGAGCAUGGCUAUUAAAAAAACUAUAUUUUUUAUGUUUUCUGAAGUAAUAUUAUUGUAUCAUAGAUUAACAUUUAAAAUUGCUAUCAUAACAUUAUGUAAAUACAAAACUACCGGCUUUGUGAGGGAAUGUUUGUGGACAAAUUUUUUUCUCUAAUGUAUAAUAGUGUUAAAUUGAUUAAAAAUCUUCCAGAAUUAAUAUCCCUUUUUGUUGCUUUUUAAAAACAUAAUAAAUCACUUGUAUCUGUGC